rnacentral:lncRNA from 1 species
GUCAUGUGGGAGUCUGCCAUGCAGUUCCUUUCUACAGCAAGAUGUUUUCUUUUCUUGUAUGUGUGCAGUGUUAUCUAUUGGAUUCGGAGUGUUGUUCUGUGGAUUUAAUGGUGUGAUAUUUCUAUCUGCCAAGACUAUAGCUUUGUGUAGUUGUGAUGUAUGUUGUUUUUUAUGGAAGAACUCUCUCAAACUACAGAUCUGUCUGUCGUGUAAAUGUAGAAUAUCAAUAAGGCCAUGUCCUUCUUCUUUGAGUGGGAGAGUAGUUCUUUCUAUGGCAGAUUUUAGGUGAUGGUACUGGUAGUG